AUUAAUUAGGACCAAGGAGCAUAUUUUAAUUAAUUGAUUGAAGUAAGAAGGGAUGGGAAAAUAAUUUAUCUACCUAAAAUUUGGGUCAAAUCCUAUUCCUAUCCUACAAAAUCUGUGGCCCAAAAAUGCCCCAGCCCAAAUCCCCAACCCGGCCCAACACCCAAACCCACCUAAACUAAGUCUUCAACCUUUUCCUUUCAUUCUAACCAAACGAACCAAACAGCCCGUUUCUCUUUUUCCUUCAACCAACAGCCCUAACCUCGUCUCUUCCACCUCGCCGCCACCUCACCCCUUAUCGUCACGUCGUCUCACCACUACCACGCCCAUCAGAACACGGAACCAAACACCUCACUCUCUCGUUAACCCAAAAACAUCGAAACCCGUUGGUUUGAAGCUUUCACCGCCUCCACUGCUACCACGUCUCUUUCCCUUUGAUUGACGUGGUGGCAGAGCCGUAAAGGAUGAAAUCCCCUAAGACUUUGGCUAUAAAUACCAGCCUCCAUGGGCUGUUUUAGGCAGAGGAGAAGGACAGAAAAAAAAAAACUCUCUUUUGUUUUGUUCAAAAGUUUUUCCCCUCGUAAAAAAUUCCUAUUGCUUUAGAAAUUGGAUUCUGAGAAAAUUCCAUUUUUUUAACUCUGAGUUUUUGGUUAUCGAAAUCUCCUUUCAAGUUCUCGGCUGAGCAAGGACUGUUUGGAGCGGAUUCAGAGAUCCGACGACGACAUUAGCCUCAGUUUGCUGUCACGGAGAAGGAACCUUGGGAGCAUUUGGAGUUAUGGCAACUCCGGAUUCUGCCCAUAUCAGAGAACAACCAGUUGCAAAAUUUAAUUGCUCGUGUCUUGCGUCCCCGUCUUCCUUCCUCUCUUUAAAUUUCGUGUCUUCGUGUUAUCAUGUAUAUACAUGUUUAUAUUCUUGACUAACAUUUUUAUGGAUUGUAUUUGUAGCACAUUUGUUUUUCGCUUGUGUAGGAACUUAUGGAAAAAUAGUUAAGUAUGAUGGUAAAUUUAGUCACUACUUUUCCUC